rnacentral:rRNA from 1 species
AUUGAACGCUGGCGGCAGGCUUAACACAUGCAAGUCGAGCGGAGAUGAGGUGCUUGCACCUUAUCUUAGCGGCGGACGGGUGAGUAAUGCUUAGGAAUCUGCCUAUUAGUGGGGGACAACAUUCCGAAAGGAAUGCUAAUACCGCAUACGCCCUACGGGGGAAAGCAGGGGAUCUUCGGAUCUUGCGCUAAUAGAUGAGCCUAAGUCGGAUUAGUUAGUUGGGUGGGUAAAGGCCUACCAAGGCGACAAUCUGUAGCGGGUCUGAGAGGAUGAUCCGCCACACUGGGACUGAGACACGGCCCAGACUCCUACGGGAGGCAGCAGUGGGGAAUAUUGGACAAUGGGCGGAAGCCUGAUCCAGCCAUGCCGCGUGUGUGAAGAAGGCCUUUUGGUUGUAAAGCACUUUAAGCGAGGAGGAGGCUACCUGGAUUAAUACUCUAGGAUAGUGGACGUUACUCGCAGAAUAAGCACCGGCUAACUCUGUGCCAGCCGCCGCAGUAACAC